CCCUUAGAUGUUCUGGGCCGCACGCGUGCUACACUGAUGAACGCAACGAGACCACCUGUACCGAAAGGCAUGGGUAAACUUGUGAAAGUUCAUCGUGAUGGGGAUAGAUUAUUGCAAUUAUUAAUCUUCAACGAGGAAUUCCUAGUAAGCGCGAGUCAUCAGCUCGCGUUGAUUACGUCCCUGCCCUUUGUACACACCGCCCGUCGCUCCUACCGAUUGAAUGGUCCGGUGAAAUCUUCGGAUUGCUGGAUAGGACUUCAUUGACCUAUCUGCGAGAAGUUGCUUGAACCUUAUCAUUUAGAGGAAGGAGAAGUCGUAACA
rnacentral:rRNA from 1 species